ensembl:lncRNA
GGAUUAAAGACCACCCUGACCUCCAGGACAAGUCAGCGGCCCAGAAUGAAGACCGGGUGAAAGACAAUGCCAGGUCUGUCGUAUUCAUGAGAGGGGGCGAUAUAUCAGACAAGCAGGAGGUGCUUGGGGAGUAUGUCCUGCAGUUUGGGAAAUACAAGGGAAAGUUAUUCCGGUGGCUUGCAGAGAAUGAUGUAGGGUACGUAAUAUACCUCAUCAAGAAAGUCAGGGAGGAGGAGAGAGCAGGCCAGUUUAAGCCAGAUGGUCCCAAGAAGAACAGCUUGUUGUCACUCCUGCAGUACAGCUACAGCUUCCAGGAGAUCAAGGACCUGCUGCUGUAUCUGGACAGUCAGGUAGUAACACUACCUGACUGUCCCCAAAACCAACCUAGUUGGUUUUGGGGUUCACACGAAGAGGACGUGGAGGGAUGUUUGGAAGCGGAGAGACAAUGGAUUUUAAGCGUUUAUGCUGCGACAGCAGUGUACGCCAGGCAGCAAAAUGUUUAGGCUCCAGGACUACCUGAACAGGCAGAGUGCUUCUGAGGGACGUGCUUCCCACUGGGCAUGCAACAUCGGCCUCUCAUUGCCCAGCUUUCACAGAAAUGGAGGAUGAUGAUGAGUUGGAGAGGAUGAUGCUCUCUAUAUCCCCAUCCAAACUCCAAGCGGAGGAAGGAGUUGAGGAAUGGGAGAGAAAGAUGCCAGCCACACCUAUUCCAGGCCAUCUUGGUUCCCAAGUUGUCGAAGUCCCUGUGGUCAAAGGUUUUAUUCUUACUACAGUACUACUGAUUGUCCGGACAUGAAUUCGGAUAAUCUGUUCUACGUUUAUUUGUUGGUUAAGCCACGUUCUGGCCUGUUUGUUACGCCAUGUUCCGGCCUCUUUUAAUGCCUGUGUUCAAUUGUUCCAUUAACAUUGAAGGCAUUAAUAUCUCGUCAUUGAGGGUAAGUACAGUUCUUGUUUUGCAUGUUUUUGUUCUUGUUUUUGUAUCCAUUAAGGGUUUGGUAUAGCAAUGUACAAAAAAAGAAGCACAUCAAGAUUGCAGAUAUGAUAAAUUCAGUUGAAAUUACAUCACAUGUCCUACAUGAAGAUGAGGAUUACCCUUGUAGUGAAAACACAACCAAAAUACCACACCCCUAAUGUCAUAGAGUGUCCUACCAGUGUUCUACCAGUUUGCAUGCAGUACUAGUGUUGCUAAUACAUGUAAAUGAAAUGGGGUAUUCAUACAUGUCAUGUACACAUGUCCUUGACAGUACCUCCGGAGUUGCUUGCCUUGGGGUUGCCUUCAAGCAAGAACACAACAUCAGCGCCAAACACCGUGUUGUGUCAAUCACCUGCUCUGUCGGCGUCGUCAAGGUCGUCUACAGCACCCUCAACAUCAUAUCCACCUCCUGCAGCACCCUCGGCACCAUGUUCACCUGAUCCACCACUCCCAAGGAUGACCUCUUUGGUGUGGCUUCCCUUGGCUCACAUGCAGUGGCCCAACCCUCACAGCCAUUCAAAGUUCAAGUUCUCCCAGUCCCAGUGACGCCACCGAUGCCCAUGUCUGCCUCUCUACGUGCUGCACGCACAGUUCUAUUCCCAGUCCCAGUCCCAGUGACGCCACCGAUGCCCAUGUCUGCCUCUCCACGUGCUGCACGCACAGGUCCAGUCAAGGCAGGCGGCCUACUUUUUGUCCUGGACCAAUCCCGGUGGACACAGCCAAUGAGGGAUGCCAUCGAUGGCCUUCUGGCAAAGCACCAUGGCCAGAAAGACCUCCUCACCAAGGUGGAUGCAGAGUAUGCUGCCCUUGUGCUUGCUGCCUCCAGAGAUCCGAACAACUUGUUACAUCCGACCACCAAACAGCACAUCUCACGGUAUGUGAAACACCAGGCCAAGCUGAUGAACAGAAGUUUGUGUCUGAAUACCAGUCCAGAGAAACUCCUUGAGACACAAGAGCUGUGGCAUCAUCUCACAGAGGGUAGUGAAACUGUUUGCGUCCCGGUGGUAACCCUCCCACCUGCACCUGUGAAUCCGCCCAGCAGUAAGUCGCAAGAGCCCUCUCUCACAAAGGCUGAAAUUGAAAACCUGGUCAAAGAGCUUGUGCAAAAGCAGCAGCAGCAGCAGCAGCAGCAGCAGCAGCAACAACAACAGCAGCCUGUGCCAAAAAAAAUUAGGAACUGUCUUGCAUGUGGCCAGCCUAAGUCCCGUUACCUUGGCGAUGGCUCCUCCAUUCACUUCUUUUACCAGGCAGGAAAGGUUAAGUACUUUUACUGCUCUACAAAGAUGCAUCGGACCUAUGUAGCAGAAGGCCUUACUGAUCCCCGCAUGGAAUUUCUUGACUUUGCUGCCACACCUUUUUUCAAGAGAGAGCUGGAGGCAGCAAAGCAGCGGUCUGCUGAGUCCAGGCAGGUAACAGAAGAGCGGGGAAAGAGAAAGGCCAUGGAGCAGCUUCCCACUGGUCGCCUGUGUAGGUUCUGCCACAAACCUAUAAAACAAGGCCCAGGCGGUCGGCAUACACACACUGGGUUCCCUGGUGUGACCGGGAAAUAUGUGUACUGUCCUUCAAAAGUUUUUCACCUGUAUCAGUCAGAGGGGAUGACUUCGGAGAUGUCUUGGGAGGAGUUCUGUCAGUCUCCCUUUUAUGAGACUGAAAAGAAGAGGUGGGUGGCAGAAAAGGGAAGGUGAUCGGCCCGUUUGGAACACUUUUAGUUAUUCAAUUUGGUUAAUCUUUUAUUUAUUUUUUUAUUUGGUUCUGGGUAUUUUCUGAUCAGAUGCUGGAA